UGGGGAAUAUUGGGCAAUGGGCGCAAGCCUGACCCAGCAACGCCGCGUGAGGGAAGAAGGUCUUCGGAUUGUAAACCUCUGUCCUUGGGGACGAAAAAAAUGACGGUACCCAAGGAGGAAGCUCCGGCUAACUACGUGCCAGCAGCCGCGGUAAUACGUAGGGAGCGAGCGUUGUCCGGAAUUACUGGGCGUAAAGGGUGCGUAGGCGGCGCUGCAAGUCAGAUGUGAAAUCCCCGGGCUUAACUCGGGGGGUGCAUUUGAAACUGCAGUGCUUGAGUGUAGGAGAGGAAAGCGGAAUUCCUAGUGUAGCGGUGAAAUGCGUAGAUAUUAGGAAGAACACCAGUGGCGAAGGCGGCUUUCUGGACUGUAACUGACGCUGAUGCACGAAAGCGUGGGGAGCAAACA
rnacentral:rRNA from 1 species